rnacentral:tRNA from 1 species
CAAGCCUCUGAGAGGGAUGAAGAUAUUGUUUUCUUUGAUCAGAUUAUGCCGGUAAAGGUUUUCUGGUUUACCCUAUAGGGCUUGUAGCUCAGUUGGUUAGAGCGCGCGCUUGAUAAGCGUGAGGUCGGAGGUUCAAGUCCUCCCAGGCCCACCAGUUACACGAUGCUAAAAGUUGCUAUAUUGGGAGAGUUGAUAAUCCCUUACAGGAAAUUAUUGCCCUUAAUAAAACUUUAUUUUCUAAAAGCAUUCAGAGCUGACAUAGAAUAGAGCUGACAUAGAAUUGAGAAUCUGACAUAGGAAUUAUUGAAAUUGUUUUGGAAUUAUUGAAAUUGUUUUCUAUCAUUUUAAAAGGCUAAAAUAUUCUGUCUCUAUUUUUAAAAUAGCAUCAGGUGUUUUGUAAGAGUGUGAAGUUUUUAAGUGUGAGGUUUUUUAUAUUUUAGUGUGAGGUUUUUAUAAGGGUAUGACGUGAGAGGGUUUUGACCUGUUUUAGGGGCCGUAGCUCAGCUGGGAGAGCACCUGCUUUGCAAGCAGGGGGUCGUCGGUUCGAUCCCGUCCGGCUCCACCAUAAUUUGGUUCAUCAUUAUUGUUAGAAGAAUAGUUAUUGCAUG